rnacentral:sRNA from 1 species
UUUCUUUUUUCCUGGACUGUAAUCUGAAAGAAACAUAAGCUCCGUCAAAAACAGAAUGUCCUUUUCUCCCAGCAUCUGUGUGUUCUGAACUGCUCUGUCCUCAUCCACAGAGUGAGUCAGGUACUGAAUGCCAGGAUGUUCUCUCUCGGUAAUGUCUACCCACAUGCUAGUGUUCUCCACGAUGUACCUCUGAAUCUAAUUAGUGUAAAUGAUUUCAUAACAGAGUCAACGACCACCUAUAUAUGAAUUCUACACUGCGAGGGAGAAGAGGUUGGAAUGGCUGACCACCAAGAACCUUUCCAGGAUGUGCCGUUAGGAAGCCAUGUAAUUCAUCUAGUCUGUGCUCACUGUGGCCUCAGACCUAAACAGUGUGUAUGUGCACAGCGCUGCCUUGGGUUCAAGUACAGAGUACAUGCGUAUUAGGAGCGAAGGCUAAACGUACAGAAUUGCUGUUAAGAACAUCGACUUACCAAACCUCCAUUGGGUACUUCCUGGGUUCAGCACCGGAAGACGAGGGAUAAAACUCUCACUGCUCUCAGAGAGAAAGAGGCUCAUUUGGCUCAUUGAUUGAAGAAAUACGGUGUGGGAAUCGUGGUAGCAGGUUCAAUGGGCAGCUGGUUCACGUAUGGCAGCUCGCUCAGUGUUCGACUGUUGAUUCCGUCUCAGCAGCCCAGGAAGCAGAGGAGGAGAAAGGCCAUUCUCUGUAUUUAGUCUGGUACUGUUUGGGGUUUGUGCCAUCCACGCUCUGCGUGGGUCUUCCCUCUUUCCUUAACCCUCCUGAAUACCUUCACACGAGCUAGAGGUGUCUCCUAGGUGAUUCUGAACCCAUAGAGGCUGACGGUGAAGAUGAAUCAUCAGAAUCCCACCCCCCAUCACUUUAAAACUCUAAUAUUCCCUCCCCCAACCCCCAAGGGCUCGUAGCCAUCUCGUGAUGUAAGAAGCAUCUAGUUCGCUGGAAGAAUCCCGAGCCUUAACAGUUUCAAUGACGUCCAAAAGCUCAGAAUCUCCUCUAAGACUCAAGGCAAUCUUGACUACGAGCAACUGUAAAUAAAAAUUAAACCAUAUACUUCUAAUACGCAA